rnacentral:rRNA from 1 species
CCCUUAGAUGUUCUGGGCCGCACGCGCGCUACACUGUUCGACGCAGCGAGUCUUAACCUUGACCGAAAGGUUUGGGUAAUCUUCAGCAAAGUCGAACGUGAUGGGGAUCGAUCAUUGCAAUUAUUAAUCUUGAACGAGGAAUUCCUAGUAAGCGCAAGUCAACAGCUUGCGUUGAUUACGUCCCUGCCCUUUGUACACACCGCCCGUCGCUACUACUGAUUGGAUGUUUAAGCGAGGUUCUCGAACUGCUAGCGACUUAGCUUCGGUGAGGUCGCAGUGUGGGAAGUGAACCUAGCUUUGGUGUCUAGAGGAAGUAAAAGUCGUAACA